rnacentral:rRNA from 1 species
CGUAGCCACGGGAAUACAGAGGGUGCGAGCGUUAAUCGGAUUUACUGGGCGUAAAGCGUGCGUAGGCGGCUUCUUAAGUCGGAUGUGAAAUCCCUGAGCUUAACUUAGGAAUUGCAUUCGAUACUGGGAAGCUAGAGUAUGGGAGAGGAUGGUAGAAUUCCAGGUGUAGCGGUGAAAUGCGUAGAGAUCUGGAGGAAUACCGAUGGCGAAGGCAGCCAUCUGGCCUAAUACUGACGCUGAGGUACGAAAGCAUGGGGAGCAAACAGGAUUAGAUACCCCCGUAGUCCCUGUCUCUUAUACC